UACGUAGGGGGCAAGCGUUGUCCGGAUUUAUUGGGCGUAAAGAGCGUGUAGGCGGCCUGGUAGGUCAGCUGUGAAAACCCGAGGCUCAACCUCGGGCCUGCAGUGGGUACGGGCAAACUAGAGUGCGGUAGGGGAGAAUGGAAUUCCUGGUGUAGCGGUGGAAUGCGCAGAUAUCAGGAGGAACACCGAUGGCGAAGGCAGUUCUCUGGGCCGUAACUGACGCUGAGGAGCGAAAGCGUGGGGAGCGAACAGG
rnacentral:rRNA from 1 species